AAAAAUUAAGCAUAUCAGUUAUCGCUUCCUUGCUGCACGUUUGUGAGCAAGAAAAUUUUUCUUGCUUCCUUGUUCUGUGUCAUGUAUUUCUUCCUCUGCUCUAUUUUCCUUUUUGUUACUGUCAAAAAUCCCAACACCCUAACCGAUACUCAACGUUCCCCUUCCAUCAUCUGUUCCUCUUCAUUCUUUCAUCUUCGUCCCCAAAACCCAUAGGUAAUGCUUUUUGUUCUUCCAAAUCUCUCUCCAGAAUAGGGUUAUGUGUCCAAUAAAUUUUGAAAUGGUUUCUUUCAAUUGUUGGUUUUUCUCUUAAAAGAUCAGGUAUUGUCCUUUGAUUCCAUUUGAUUUAUUUUUUAUUUCAUAGCAAAAUGUCACUCACGGUCAAAUGAGGAACGAAUCCAAUGAAUAUUUUAACAUAAGGCCAAACAACUGAAAAUGCACCCUUUUUUUUUCUCAUAAUGACAAAUUACAUUAAAAACAUUUACGAUUGUUAUAGUAUCAUGUUUUACAAUAAACAAAAUUCACUACAACACUAAUUAUAAUAACAUCAAUGGCAAAUGACAACAGACGCACCAUAACUUUCUGCAAUCUAAAAUCCAGAGUCCACCACACAAAGUCGAUUUCAGCAUCCAUGCAAUGCGGAGUUAGCUUUCAUCGGGUAAAGUACCUACCAGGAGAGAAGAG
rnacentral:lncRNA from 1 species